rnacentral:rRNA from 1 species
GUGGGGAAUAUUGAACAAUGGGCGAAAGCCUGAUCCAGCCAUGCCGCGUGUGUGAAGAAGGUCUUCGGAUUGUAAAGCACUUUAAGUUGGGAGGAAGGGCAGUAAGUUAAUACCUUGCUGUUUUGACGUUACCGACAGAAUAAGCACCGGCUAACUUCGUGCCAGCAGCCGCGGUAAUACGAAGGGUGCAAGCGUUAAUCGGAAUUACUGGGCGUAAAGCGCGCGUAGGUGGUUUUGUAAGUUGGAGGUGAAAUCCCCGGGCUCAACCUGGGAACUGCCUCCAAAACUGCAUGACUAGAGUACGGUAGAGGGUAGUGGAAUUUCCUGUGUAGCGGUGAAAUGCGUAGAUAUAGGAAGGAACACCAGUGGCGAAGGCGACUACCUGGACUGAUACUGACACUGAGGUGCAAAAGCGUGGGGAGCAAACAGGAUUAGAUACCCUUGUAGUCC